UUUAAGCAUAUUAUUAAGCGGAGGAAAAGAAACUAACAAGGAUCCCCUCAGUAAGGGCGACUGAAGCGGGAGUAGCUCAAGAUGUGAAUCUGCGCCGUUCUGCGGCGCCGAAUUGUGGUCUAUAGGCGUGUGCGUUACCUGGCCGGGCCAAGUCCCUUGGAACAGGGCGGCUGAGAGGGUGAGACCCCCGUUCGCCUGGCCUUUGGAGCGCGCGUCGACGAGUCGAGUUGUUUGGGAUUGCAGCUCAAAGUGGGUGGUAAAUUCCAUCUAAAGCUAAAUACUGGUGGGAGACCGAUAGCGUACAAGUACCGUGAGGGAAAGAUGCAACAGAACUUUGAAAAGAGAGUUAAAGAGUACCUGAAAUUGCUGAAAAGGAAGCGAAGGAAACCAGUGUUA
rnacentral:rRNA from 1 species